UACAAUGCUACAUUCUAGCAAAGAUUCAAUGCAAUCCUGAUUAUAAUCCGAGCAGUCUAUUUCGGUAGGCAGAUGCAAAGGACCUUUAAUAUCCAAAGCAAUCUUAAACAAAAGAAACAUAAAAUACAACAACAACAGUAAAACAUGCAACACAAGCCACUCACCGGAGCCCAUACAGAACUGUUCCGUCCGGAUGCAGCCGGAUCAUUCGG